GGACCAACAAGCCCAGCGAGGCCAGCACCAGCAGCGGGCGACGGCCCACACAGUCACUCCACGAACCCAGCAGGGUGGACGAGAAGAGCCCCACCAGGAAGCCGCCCACAUUCAUGUAGAGCGUCCAGUGGGAGGCUCGGCUGCUAUCUGGGACAUGCCGCUUACCUCCCUGUGCCUCAGUUUCGUCAUCUUUAACAUGGAGAUGCUAAUAGAACUUGCCUCAAAGAGUUGCUGUGGAAGAAUGGUGUCUGGUACACUAUAGCCACCUGAUGACAGGGGCUUUGUUUUCUUCACUGCUGCAUCUCCACUACCUAGAAAAAUGCCUGGCACAUGGUAGAUGUUCAGAAAGUGGUACUUGAAUGAAUAAAUGAACCCCUCAAGGAGAAAGGAUUUCCUGGCUGGAGCCCCAGAGCACAAGGAGAGGCUUGCCUGUGUGGAGCUACCCGUGGAGGCCAGAGUCCAAGAAUCUAGACAAAGAAGAAAGCCGAGAGAUCACAUCUUUGCCUGUGUGCCCUUCUAAAAGAUGAGGAAAUUGAGGUCCAGAGAGAGAAGUGACUUUAUCCAGGAGAAGCUAAACAUUUCUGCCCUUUCAAAUCCUUAAAAGAAAGAAGUGAUUGAAAAAUAAAACAUCUGUAGAUUUAA